GUGUUGGUGACUCAGUAGUAGAAUUCUCUCCUUCCAUGUAGGAGGCCCAGGUUCGAUUCCUGGCCAGUGCA
rnacentral:tRNA from 1 species